GGCGCAGCAGUUGACUGGACAUCUAGGGGUAAAGCACUGUUUCGGUGCGGGCUGCGCGAGCGGUACCAAAUCGAGGCAAACUCUGAAUACUAGAUAUGACCCAAAAAUAACAGGGGUCAAGGUCGGCCAGUGAGACGAUGUGGGAUAAGCUUCAUCGUCGAGAGGGAAACAGCCCGGAUCACCAGCUAAGGCCCCUAAAUGACCGCUCAGUGAUAAAGGAGGUGGGGGUGCAAAGACAGCCAGGAGGUUU
rnacentral:ncRNA from 1 species